GCAGUUCUCUUUAACAUUCUAUUCAUGUUUGCUCUUAUGUACCUUAACCCAUUCGGAAAGCCGCAAGCAAUAAUAUCUGAAGAUGCUGCAAAAGAGAUGGAAAAUAACCAAGAACAGUCAAAGGAAGAACCAAGACUCAGAAGGCCCGUGUCAAAGAAAAAAUCAAUUUCUCGAUCAUUGUCUUCGUCUGAUGAGAACAAUACAAAAGAAAUGGAAAUCCGCCGAUUGAGCAGCUGAACUAACAGCAAUGGAAUAAGUAAAAAUG